rnacentral:lncRNA from 1 species
UUGAGAAGAAACGGGUGGGGAGGUGGUGGGGAUGAGGAGGGAAAUGGGGAAGAAGAUGGGGAGGAAGAGGAAGAGGAGGAAGAAGAGGAGGAGGAAAAUGAUGAGGAUGGGGGGAAGGAAGAGGGUGAGAGGAUGAGGGAGAUGGGGAGGAGGAAGAUGAGGAUGAAGAAGAGGAAGAUGGGGGAGGAUGAGGAAGAUGGGGAGGAUGAUGGGGAUGAGGAAGAAGAUGGAGGAGGAUGAGGAAGAUGGGGAGGACGAUGGGGAUGAGGCUGAGGAGGAUAACAGAGAGGAGGAGGGGGAUAAGGACGAGGAGGAGGAAGUCAACGAGGAGGAGGAGGAGAAGGAUGAAGAUGAGGAUGAAGAGGUGAAUGAGGAGGAAGAGGGGGAGGACAACAAGGAUGAAGAGGGCAGUGAGGAUGAGGAUGAAGGCAACGAAGAUGAGGGUGAAAAUGAGACUGAAAAAAUCAAGAAGGAUGAAGGCCAUAACGAGAAUGGAAACGGCAACAAAGAUGGGAACGAGGUCAACGAGGAUGAGGAUGAAGAUGAGGAUGAAGAUGAGGAUGAGGAGAUCAGUGGGGAUGAAGAUGGGGACAACAAUGGGGAUGUAGAGAACGAGGUGAGGAUGGGGAUGGGGAGGGGCAGGACAAUGUGGAUGAAGAAGACGAGGAUGAGGAUGGGACAAGGAUGAGGGUGAAGAUGAAGAUGAAGCUGAGGAUGAAGAUGAGGGUGAGUACAAAGAUGAAGAUGAGGGCGAUGAGGAAACACGAACAAUGGGGUCACGAAUGGAGAUGAGAACGAGAGCGACGAUGAGGGUGAGAAUGAUGAAGAUGAUGGGAGCGGGGCUGAGGAUGAGGAUGAGGAUGGGAAGGACAAUGAGGAUGAGGAUGAAGAAGACAACGAAGGUCAGGAAGGGGGUGGUGAUGAGGAUGAGGAUGAGGACGAAGAAGGAGAGGACAAUGAGGAUGAAGAAGACAGCAAGGGUGAGGGUGGAGAUGGCGAUGAAGAAGAAGAUGAGGAUGGCAAUGAGAAUGAGAAUGAAGAUGGAGAAUAACAAGGAUGAAGAAGACGAUGAAGAUGAAGAUGAGGAUAGAGAUGGGGAUGAAGAUGAGGAUGGAGAGAACAAUGAGGAUGAAAAAGACAACGGGGAUGAGGAUGGGGAUGGGGAUGGAGAUGGACGUGAGGAUGAUGGAUGGUGAUGAUGAUGAGGACGAAGAUGAAGAAGGCAACAAGGAUGAAGAAGAUAAUGAGAGUGAGGAUGAGGAUGGGGAUGGAGAUGGGGAUGAGGAUGAAGAUGAAGAUGAAGAGAACGAUGAGUAUGAAGAAGACAACAAAGAUGAGGAUGAGGAUGGGGAUGGAGAUGGGGAUGAGGAUGGUGAUGAGAAAGAGGAUGAAGAUGGAGAGGACAACAAGGAUGAAGACAACAAAGAUGAGGAUGAGGAUGGGAAUGGGGAUGAGGAUGGUGAUGAGGAAGAGGACGAAGAUGAAGAGAACAACAAGGGUAAGGGAGAUGAAGAUGAGGGUGAGGAUGGGGAUGGAGAUAAGGAUGGUGGUGAGGAAAAGGAUGAAGAUGAAGAGGACAACAAGGAUGAAGAAGACGAGGAUGAGGGUGAGGAUGGGGACGGAGAUGGGGGUGGUGAUGAGGAAGAGGAAGAGGACGAAAAUGAAGAGAACAGCGAGGAUGAAGAAGACGAAGAUGAGGGUGAGGAUGGAGAUGGAGAUAAGGAUGGUGGUGAGGAAGAGGACGAAGAUGGAGAGGACAACAAGCAUGAAAAAGACAACGAGGAUGAGGAUGAGGAUGAGAGUGGAGAUGGAGACAAGGAUGGUGGUGAGGAAGAGGAUGAAGAUGGAGAGGACAACAAGGACAAAGAAGACAAGGAUGAAGGUGAGGAUGGGGAUGGAGAUAAGGAUGGCGGUGAGGAAGAGGACGAAGAUGAAGAGAACAACAAGGAUGAAAAAGUCAACGAGGAUGAGGAUGAGGAUGGAGAUGGAGAUGGAGAUGGAGAUGGUGGUGAGGAAGACGACGAAGAUGAAGAGGACAACAAGGAUGAAGAAGACAACGAGGAUGAGGAUGGCGGUGAGGAAGAGGAUGAAGAUGAAGAGGACAACAAGGACGAAGAAGACAAGGAUGAGGGUGAGGAUGGGGAUGGAGAUGGGGAUGGAGAUGGAGAUGGUGAUGAGGAAGAGGACGAAGAUGAAGAGGACAACAAGGAUGAAGAAGACAACGAGGAUGAGGAUGAGGAUGGGGACGGAAAUGGAGAUGGUGGUGAGGAAGAGAACAAAGAUAAAGAGGACAACAAGGAUGAAGAAGACAAGGAUGAGGAUGAGGGUGGAGAUGGAGAUAAGGAUGGUGGUGAGGAAGAGGAUGAAGAUGAAGAGAACAACAAGGACGAAGAAGACAAGGAUGAGGGUGAGGAUGGGGAUGGAGAUGGGGAUGGUGAUGAGGAAGAGGAAGAGGACGAAGAUGAAGAGGACAACAAGGAUGAAGACGACAACGAGGAUGAGGAUGAGGAUGGAGAUGGAGAUGGUGAUGAGGAAGAGGAUGAAGAUGAAGAGAACAACAAGGAUGAGGGAGAUGAAGAUGAGGAUGAGGGUGGAGAUGGAGACAAGGAUGGUGGUGAGGAAGAGGACGAAGAUGAAGAGGACAACAAGGAUGAAGACGACAACGAGGAUGAGGAUGAGGAUGGAGAUGGAGAUAAGGAUGGCGGUGAGGAAGAGGACGAAGAUGAAGAGAACAACAAGGGUAAGGGAGAUGAAGAUGAGGGUGAGGAUGGGGAUGGAGAUAAGGAUGGUGGUGAGGAAAAGGAUGAAGAUGAAGAGGACAACAAGGAUGAAGAAGACGAGGAUGAGGGUGAGGAUGGGGACGGAGAUGGGGGUGGUGAUGAGGAAGAGGAAGAGGACGAAAAUGAAGAGAACAGCGAGGAUGAAGAAGACGAAGAUGAGGGUGAGGAUGGAGAUGGAGAUAAGGAUGGUGGUGAGGAAGAGGACGAAGAUGGAGAGGACAACAAGCAUGAAAAAGACAACGAGGAUGAGGAUGAGGAUGAGAGUGGAGAUGGAGACAAGGAUGGUGGUGAGGAAGAGGAUGAAGAUGGAGAGGACAACAAGGACAAAGAAGACAAGGAUGAAGGUGAGGAUGGGGAUGGAGAUAAGGAUGGCGGUGAGGAAGAGGACGAAGAUGAAGAGAACAAC